UGUUAAGGGUAUGUGAGGGUGGUAACUGAAUGUGUUUGGGUGCAAUCCUCACACGACGGGUGUCACCCUCACACAUUCGGGUACCACCCUAACAUACCCUUAACAAG